GACGAACGCUGGCGGCGUGCUUAACACAUGCAAGUCGAACGGAAAGGCCUCUUUCGGGGGGUACUCGAGUGGCGAACGGGUGAGUAACACGUGAGUAAACUGCCCUUGUCUUUGGGAUAACUUCCUUAGACUGGGGCUAAUACCUGAUAGGAGCUCCUUCUGCAUGGUUGGGGCUGGAGAGUUUCGGCGGUUUGGUGUGGACUCGCGGCGUAUCAGCUUGUUGGUGGGGUAGUGGCUUACCAAGGCUUUGACGGGUAGCCGGCCUGAGAGGGUGAGAGGCCACAUUGGGACUGAGAUGCGGCCAAGACUCGGACGGGAGGCAGAAGGGGGGAAGAUUGCACGAUGGGUGGAAGCCUGAUGCAGCAACGCCGUGGGCGGGAUGACGGCUUUCGGGUUGUAAACCGAAUUCGCUCAUGACGAAGCUUUGUGUGACGGUAGUGGGUAAAGAAGCACCGGCUAACUACGUG
rnacentral:rRNA from 1 species